CACACACACACACACACACACACACACACACACACACACAUACGCAUACAGACACAAAUCCGUACUAUAUAAACAUAUGGAAAUGUAUUUUGUCGAGAAAUUGAUCUUUGUAACGUCGCGCAACUUUCAAAGUGGAUUGUAAAUAAAGAGCGAUUUGCAAAUGAAUGAGAAUAAAGACUGACCAAUCAAUCAGGUACCUCUUAUUCACCAAUCACCUGUCUGUAAUAUUAUGAUCCAAUUAAUAUCUUUUAUAUUUCUGGGUAAAAAUUACUAUACCACAAUGUAUGAAUAUUAGUCAACUGCGUCCAAGUGACAGAUGUCUUAAAUUUAUAUUCUAGGAUAGUUUCAGUCUGUACACCCCCGCCACACACAUA